UACGAAGGGGGCUAGCGUUGCUCGGAAUCACUGGGCGUAAAGGGUGCGUAGGCGGGUCUUUAAGUCAGGGGUGAAAUCCUGGAGCUCAACUCCAGAACUGCCUUUGAUACUGAAGAUCUUGAGUUCGGGAGAGGUGAGUGGAACUGCGAGUGUAGAGGUGAAAUUCGUAGAUAUUCGCAAGAACACCAGUGGCGAAGGCGACUAACUGGACAUGUAUUGACGCUGAGGUGCGAAAGCGUGGGGAGCAAACAGG
rnacentral:rRNA from 1 species